UUCCAUCUCGCUACUAGACGAUGAUGUUUUGAACUCCUUCUUCAUCGUUUUCUCUACUUCCCCUUCUUCUUCUGCUCUCCAAUGGCUAUCACCGCCGCAAACGUUUAACAAAAAAAAAAAAACAGCCUUUUAUUCAUACCCAAUGCCAGUGUAUCCACGCGCAUUCCAUUUUCCCAUGUCAAGACACUCCAGCGGUGCUCAAUGUCCCUCGGAAUGCUUUCCUUUUUCUUCAGUUGAAUGAAUGAAAGAAAUGACGCAUAUAAAGGGAAAAAGCUCUCGCCUGCUGUUUGUAGAGAUAAGCACACUUGCAGACAUUUAUGCACAUAUAUAUUCACGUGUUUGUAUUUUUCUGCUUUCUUAAAAUAUGUCUUGGUCUACAGGAGAAAAGGGCAUUGGUCCUAAAACUGGAAAGCCAUUGCACUACAAGGGUUCCUUUUUCCAUCGAGUCAUGAAAGGUUCCCUGGCCCAGGGUGGUGAUUUUGGAAGAAGAGAUGGUACGCAUUCUUUGCAAAGAGGACUUUUAUUUUAAUUUUUUGUAGCUGUUAAUUGAUUUUACUUUAGAUAAUAUCUCUUUAAGGGUUGCCAUCUAUGUGACUGCUGGUUGAAGUGUUAUUUCUACCUGCUUAUUUUGAAAUGUUAUAUUAUAUAUGUUAGCUUUUGUAGGUGUCUGUGUGUGUAUGGUCUUAAUGUUUUUCCCCCCACAAUGUUUCAAUUUGAGUUUAGAGGAGCAAUAAUGCUUUGGUAUGAAGAAUAUCGAUAUACUGUCUAUUUGUUUGACAGGGUGGCCUGCCAAUGUAUGUCGCAACACGGGGUUUAUAUGGCUUUAAUAAGUAGGUUCUCUAUCUAUUUGUUUGUUUAUUAUCUAUUUGGCUUUAAUAAGUAGGUUAAUGUGUCUGUCUAUUUGUUUACAGCUUAAUCUAUUUGUUUGUUUGUUUAUUGUCUAUUUGUCUUUAAUAAGUAGGUUCUCUGUCUUUGUUGGAAACAUAUGAUAUAUAUGCUAAAUAUAUAUAUAUAUAUAUAUGGAUGCCGGACACAGGUACUUCAGAAAAUGAAGAGUUGGAGUAACAUGGGUAUUUGUAUCCGAAUGUCAAUAUAUAUGCUAAAUAUCAUUGAAUGAAACAAAGUAGAAAAUGGUAUUUUCUUGCAAAUAACCUGGUUUAAGUUGUUUUAUGCACAUGUGCUAUGUACAUGUGCCUUAUACACAGUAUUUUCUAUUUUCUAUUUUUCUUCAUCUUGAGUUGAUGUGUACAUGAUUUAUUGAAAAAAAAGCUUUAUAAAUGUUUAUGUCAUGUUUUAUAUGUACAUAGAUAUUUUCUUUCAUCUUUUGAAAUUCAUUGUGGAAAUGCUUAAUGAUACUGUUUAUGUCAAGUUCUGAGGGGAAGACUGAUGUUAUGAAAAAGAUUAAGUUUCCACAGAUGAAGUAGAAAUCUGCUAGUAAAACUGUUCAACGACAAGCAAAGAGGCAGCACUACCUUGUCCCAUAAAAGAAAUUUUGGAAAAGGAAAAGAAGAUAUUGAAGGUGUAGUGGAUGAUUCAAUCUCUUCAAGCUGGAAAAGCCAAGGCUUAGCACUUUUUCAAGUAGAGUGUUAUUUAAUGUUGUAUUCCAUGGUCGUUUAUCUUAGUCGGAACUUGAAUUAGGUGUUAUUGAAAUAGGGUUUUGUAGCUACCUUGUGUACUAGUUUAUUUAAUUAUGAUUGUUAAUUAUGUUUUGUAGUUUCUUUUA